rnacentral:ncRNA from 1 species
GUUUUUUAUUCUCCUAAUAAAGUUUUAUUCUAGCUAGGAAAUUCCCUGUUGGAUUGGUUCACAUGUAAGGAGUAAUCGUGUUGUGGAGGGUUUGCCUAAAAGGUGCCUGAUGAUUGGAGUGGUAUUCGCAGUGUUUUGUAUUGGUGGUCAAGAAACUUUGGAACCGGUAAUUUGAAUAGCUCCGGCAAAACUCGUGCCAGCCGCCGCGGUUACACGAAGGGGGUAAGGGUAUUUUAUUGGUUUGUAAUUGGCUUUGGGGACGGCUAGAGAGAAAGGUUUGUUGGGUGAAAUUUUAAACCUCAAGUUAGCCCGAGAAUGGAUAAGUGAAGUUAUGAAAUCUGGGAAGAAAACUAGGAUUAGAUACCCUACUAUUCCAGAUGUUAAGUAGAAGCCAGAGUAGUAAUAGUUAUGUUCUUGAAACUCAAAGAAUUUGGCGGUGUUUUAGUCCGUUCAGAGGAACCUGUCCCAUGAUUGAUAAUCCACGUUAGACUUAACUUAGGGUUAUUCAGCUUGUAUACCGCCGUCGAAAGAGGAAUUCAGAAGAAUCCCCUCCAAUCCCUGCAGUAAGGUAGAUGUCAGGUCAAGGUGCAGCUUAUCCCUAAGGGGAGAUGGGUUACAAUAAGGGUACUUAAACGGAAGUACACAGGAAGAGGUGAACUAGAAGGUGGAUUUGAAUGUAAUUGGGUUUUAAUUAAAACCCAUGAAAUAGGCUCUAAAACAAGCACACAUCGCCCGUCGCUCUCGUUUAUUUAAGGCGAGAUAAGUCGUAACAAAGUAGGUGUACCGGAAGGUGCUUCUAGAACGAG